GAAAGUUCCAAUCUCCAGCUGUGAGCCCUUUCUUAUGACUUGUGACCCACAGGUUCACACACCAAGAACAGCAGCAGCAGAACCCUACUGACAAGGGCCACUCUGUACAAGUCACAUCCUCAGCCUCAAAAGGUAGCGGAGCUCCGGUGGGGCAGCCCUGUCCCCCCGCGGCCUGCGCAGCCUGAGGAAGGCCGG